rnacentral:misc_RNA from 1 species
UUUCCGUAGGUGAACCUGCGGAAGGAUCAUUAUUGUAUAACCGAGGUGCGAGGGCUGUCGCUGACCCGAAAGGUCGUGCACGCCCGAGUGCCCUCACACACAUCCACCUCACCCCUAUGUGCACCACCGCGUGGGUCCCCCUUUGGCUUGUUCGGAGGGGGGCUUACGUUUUCACACAAACUUUGUAUGCAGUGUAGAAUGUACUUUUUGUUUUUGCGAUCACGCAAUCAAUACAACUUUCAACAACGGAUCUCUUGGCUCUC